UGUAACAGAGCCCAAAAAGACAAAGCAUGAUAAAUAUGCAAUAACCUGUUGACGCCAAAGCACACAGCACUGGAACUGGUAACACUGGAAACGCUGCGCUUCGUGCUGAGCCUAUCAAGACCCAACUAGGUUGGUUCCAUCAACAAGACCUCAGCUGAACCCAGAGGAAGACCAUGAUCUGCUAUGCAGGCAGUAAAACGUAACUGUGGGCCCUCUGGGUGAUGAGACACAAUCCUCUUUCUAUCUACCUAUCCAUUUUUCCAAAAUCUAUCAAUCCAUCAAACCAUCAUAUACUUAUGCGUCCAUCCAUUAAACCUUCAUAUACUUAUGCGUCCAUCCAUCCAACUAUCAUAUACUUAUGCGUCCAUCCAUCCAACCAUCAUAUACUUAAGCUCAUCCAUCCAACCAUCAUAUACUUAUUCGUCCACCUAUCCAACCUUUGUAUACUUAUCCAUCCAUCAAUUCAUGCAACCAUCAUAUACCCUACCCUGCAGCUAUACAACCAUUCUAUCCAUCCAUCCAUCAUAAUGUCACAGCGCUGUCAGUCCUUCCCUGUCAUUUCCACAUCUCACUCCACCUAAUCAGUUCAUUCUGUACAGCUGCUAGUCACAUUUCACCUCGUCAGCCCAAUCACAUUCACCUGUCUACCCAACUCACUCCCUUCAGUAUUUAAAGCCCAGUCACUCACUGCCAGAUUGUCCUCUCAUUUAUGAUAGACCUUCCAGCACUUUCUUUUGGACUGAUUCCCUGUUGUCGACCCUGACUAUCUCGUCUCGCCCUGCCCCAGUAGUUCACCCAGUCUUCCGACCACGUCUUUUGCUAGUGUCUCUGUAAACUGUUGGUUUGCAUUGAGGAUAAUGAAAUAGUCUGUUUGGAACUACAACUGCUGUUUGUCGUAUUGCAUCUGAGUCCGUACCUCAUCCAUUACACAUUUACUUAACCACCCAUCCAUCAAUUAAUCCAAUCAUCAUAUACUUAUCCGCCCAUCCAUCCAUCAUAUACUUAUCCAUCCAAGCACCAUAUACUGUACUUAUCUGUCUAUCCAUACAACCAUCAUAUACCUAUCCUUAUCUGUCCAUUUAUCAUAUACUUGUACAUCUAUCCAUCCAUUAAUCCAAACAUCCAACACUCCAUGGCGUUAUUAUUAUUAGUAUUGACAGUAUUACUACUUUGUUGGAUGUGGGCGUUUUCUGUUGCUAUUUGUUGAACUUU
ensembl:lncRNA